rnacentral:tRNA from 1 species
UCCCCUGUAGCUCAAUGGUAGAGCACUCGGCUGUUAACCGAGGGGUUGCUGGUUCGAGUCCAGCCGGGGGAG